AACGAACGCUGGCGGCAUGCCUAACACAUGCAAGUCGAACGCGUGUAGCAAUACACGAGUGGCGGACGGGUGAGUAACGCGUGGGAACCUGCCCAGUGGUAGGGAAUAACUGCGGGAAACUGCAGCUAAUACCCUAUACGCCCUUUGGGGAAAGAUUCAUCGCCAUUGGAGGGGCCCGCGUCGGAUUAGCUAGUUGGCGGGGUAAUGGCCCACCAAGGCAACGAUCCGUAGCUGGCUGAGAGGAUGAUCAGCCACACUGGGACUGAGAUACGGCCCAGACUCCUACGGGAGGCAGCAGUGGGGAAUAUUGGACAAUGGGGGAAACCCUGAUCCAGCAAUGCCGCGUGAGUGAAGAAGGCCUUCGGGUUG
rnacentral:rRNA from 1 species